UAUACCAAGCGUGGAUGAAAAUAUAUGUGUGCAUUUGAUGUAGUUACAACACUCCAACAAAAGUUUUUCUUUCUCGCGCUCAUUUUCUGUUCUUCAUCUUCUUUUUCUCAUUCUCCGAUUCUCUUUCAUUCUUUUUCUACUUUCUCUCUCUAUAUUUUCUCACCCAAUUUCUCUCUAUUUCAGGCAAAUCAUUGAUCAAUACUUGACAAAUAACACCUAAUCUGUAUUUCAUAGGUUUUUAUUAUAAAUUUAAGUAUAAAUUAUUCUAUAGUUGAAUUUUAAUUUCGUGUAUGUUGUGUUGUCUAUUUCUAGGUUAUUACAAAACUCCUACGCACAAUGAAUCAGUGAGAGACAUUUACAAAGAUUGAAGCCACAUAAGUUUUCUUUGUUGUGAGUAAUCAUCUCCAUGGGAUUAAGGAAGAUAGUCUAUCUGAUCAUAAAGGAAUCUUCUCCUCUGGAGAUGAGGUCACACAUUCUUAUGUCGAUGUUAUUGCUUGUUACAUUUAUGUCCGUUUAAUUUGUUCCUCAUUAUAUUUGAUGUUAAGGGAAAUUUAUAUUAGAGAUAAAAGAGGCAAAGCACAAUUAGGAGGAAUGACACCAAUUUGAAGUUUAUUUGUCUGGCUAUUUUAUGCGGAGUUGAAUCAACUAUAUAUUAAGUAUCAAAUAUAAAUAUUUGGUUUCCGAGGAUUUUUAGAAAUUUAAACAACAUACAGUACCAAGUAAUAAUUUUCAUCAAUCAUAUAUUUGUUUCAGGUUAAAUAGUUUUUUAAUUGUGAUGCAAUGAAUGAGAAAAUCAAUUCCUUUUUCCUUCAGUUUUUAUUGGUGGUUUAGUUUUAUCAAUGAAAUUUAUUAGCUUCUUUUAUUUUGAAGCGAAUCACAAGUUGAGUGACGCGGUCUUAAGUAAAACAGAGAAGGUAUAUGGAAAAAACAACAUAAGUAGUGAACUAUGGUGCGAACCUGGGUUGUGUUCAGAUAUUAUCAAUAUCUUACUUUUUUACAUGUUAGAUUUUUUGGCAACCCCAUUUCCUCCUGUUAUAAGUUCGGUGCAAUGAGCAGAUGGAAGCCCUUGAAGAAAUCUUAAUUUUCUACAGGUGCAAAUUUUUUUUAAGUUGCUCUAUAAUUUUUGUUAACAAAAUUUCCAACUACCGACUAAUAGAUACCCCAACAUCUGUGGCAGCGCUUGAACUAAAUGCGCAAUAUGUGUUGCCUCAUUAAUUCCUUACAUAACAGAAGUUUUUAGUUCCCCCUGGAUAUCUAGCUACAUUUGAGUGAAUUGCAUUUGAGUUCCUAUAAUUUAAUGGAGUUAUUCAAAAGAUUAAUUUCUUCGUUUGAGUUAUUUGAAUGAAAUAAUAGACCAAACAAUCUUUUAGUCUUCACUAUCAAUGGAGUUGGGCUUGUAUUUAAGUUCGUAUAUCUUAUUAUAUUUUAGUUAUAUUUGAAUUGCAACGUGCUUAAAUCUACCUUGAGCUAAAUGUGUCAGCGAGCUCUCACAUUUGGAGAUAAAUUAAGAAAAUUGUUUGUUUUUGGUUUGUUUUUAUAAUUUUCAGGUGAUUUUCCAGUGACUAAAGGUAAUAAAUGGUCAAGUACCAGAUGGGUGCAUGUUAAGGAAUAAGUGGUCAAGUAACAAAUGAUACAUGUAGCAGCAAAUGAUGUUGCUUUCUAAGCCCAUGCUGUUCUACUAACAGCAAUUUCCUUGAAGGUUGAGCAUAUGUUAAAUGAUAGAUUGCUUCAGUUUGUCAAUAUUGCUUCAGUUUGAGAUAAGGGAGUGAAGAAACUAUUCUAACACGCGGAAGGUCUCAUUACCUUUGAAUUGGGUUAUGUGAAUUCAAUAUUUUUGAAUUUGAUUUUGGGUUCUGCAAAGUGAUAGGUGUAUCAUUAGAGACUUAUAUGGAUUUUGGAGUUUUUAAAUGCGUUUAUUUUAUGCGUUCUUGUUGUGGAUAAUUGUAAAUUUCUACUCUUUCUCGUUUACACAAUAUUGAAUCAA